AUGAAUGACAAGUCGGUCUUCUGUGCUGGUGGCAACACAUGUGCACGUUGGCCGCAAAUCCACAUACCUGUGCACCUUUGACUUUGGGAUCCGCUUGCUGGCUUGUCUGGCUUGCAGUUGGCUGGCUCUGUGGUUGGCCUGGGUCUCAGGGUAAUUUUACACACUCUUGUAUGUAUUGGAAUGUCUCUGUGCAGAAUGCGCAUAUAAA
rnacentral:misc_RNA from 1 species